rnacentral:rRNA from 1 species
UACGAAGGGGGGCUAGCGUUGCUCGGAAUCACUGGGCGUAAAGGGUGCGUAGGCGGGUCUUUUAAGUCAGGGGUGAAAUCCUGGAGCUCAACUCCAGAACUGCCUUUGAAACUGUUAGACUUGAGUACGAGAGAGGUGAGUGGAAUUCCCAGUGUAGAGGUGAAAUUCGUAGAUAUUGGGAAGAACACCAGUGGCGAAGGCGGCUCACUGGCUCGUAACUGACGCUCAGGCGCGACAGCGUGGGGAUCGAAACAGG